rnacentral:rRNA from 1 species
AUUAUUUUAAGUAAAAUCUGCUCCAUGUUAUAUAAAUAGCCGCAGAAAUUUAACUGUGCUAAGGUAGCAUAAUCAUUUACCUUUUAAUUAAAGGUUUGUAUGAACGAUUUUACAUUUAGAUUACUCUUUAUUAAUUUUUACAAAAUUUAAAUUAAACAUAAAAAUGUUUUUAUCUUUAAAAAAGACGAUAAGACCCUAUUGAACUUAACAUAAGUUUAGCUGGGGAAGCUAGUUAAAUACAAUUUUGACUUACAUCUUAAAAAUKRAUUCUAACMWAAUUWUUCCAAUAAGUUACCAUAGGGAUAACAGCGUAAUUUAAUUUUAAAGCUCAUAUUAAAAAUUAAGCUUACGACCUCGAUGUUGAAUUAGAAUUCCUUUWAACGCAAGCGUUUAAAAAGUAGGUCUGUUCGACCUUUAAUAAUCUACG